UACGAAGGGGGCUAGCGUUGCUCGGAAUCACUGGGCGUAAAGCGCACGUAGGCGGGUCUUUAAGUCAGGGGUGAAAUCCUGGAGCUCAACUCCAGAACUGCCUUUGAUACUGAGGAUCUCGAGUCCGGGAGAGGUGAGUGGAACUCCGAGUGUAGAGGUGAAAUUCGUAGAUAUUCGGAAGAACACCAGUGGCAAAGGCGGCUCACUGGCCCGGUACUGACGCUGAGGUGCGAAAGCGUGGGGAGCAAACAGG
rnacentral:rRNA from 1 species